rnacentral:rRNA from 1 species
GGAAAACCUGUCGGUCAAUACCCGGCAGCUUGACAUUACCUUUAGAAGAAGCACCGGCUAACUCCGUGCCAGCAGCCGCGGUAAUACGGAGGGUGCAAGCGUUAAUCGGAAUUACUGGGCGUAAAGCGUGCGUAGGCGGUUCGUUAAGUCAGAUGUGAAAGCCCCGGGCUUAACCUGGGAACUGCAUUUGAAACUGGUGGACUUGAGUUGAGUAGAGGGGAGUGGAAUUUCAGGUGUAGCGGUGAAAUGCGUAGAUAUCUGAAGGAACACCAGUGGCGAAGGCGACUCCCUGGACUCAAACUGACGCUGAGGUACGAAAGCGUGGGUAGCAAACAGGAUUAGAUACCCUGGUAGUCCACGCUGUAAACGAUGUCAACUAGCCGUUGGUCCUAUUUACAGGAUUAGUGGCGCAGCUAACGCAUUAAGUUGACCGCCUGGGGAGUACGGCCG